GAGCUGGGCUGAGCUGGGCUGAGCUGGGCUGAGCUGAGCUGGGCUGGGCUAAGCUGAGCUGGACUGAGCUGGGCUGAG
rnacentral:miRNA from 14 species